AUCUAUGGCCAUGCCACCCUGAACAUGCCCGAUCCCGUCUGAUCUCGGAAGCUAAGCAGGGUCGGGUCUGGUUAGUACUUAGAUAGGAGACCACCAAGGAAGACCAGGUGCUGUAGGCA
rnacentral:rRNA from 1 species